rnacentral:tRNA from 1 species
GGGCCUGUAGCUCAGACGGAUAGAGCGUCUGGUUGCUAACCGGAAGGGCGAGAGUUCAAUCCUCUCCAGGCCCGCCA